UAAUAACAGGCACAACUACAGUUUUGAUGGC
rnacentral:piRNA from 1 species